GACGAACGCUGGCGGCGUGCUUAACACAUGCGAGUCGAACGGAAAGGCCCCUUUGGGGGUCCUCGAGUGGCGCACGGGUGAGUAACACGUGAGUAACCUGCCCUUGACUUCGGGAUAACUUCAGGAAACUGGGGCUAAUACCGGAUAGGAAUCCUUGCUGCAUGGUGGGGGUUGGAAAGCUUCGGCGGUUUUGGAUGGACUCGCGGCUUAUCAGCUUGUUGGUGGGGUAGUGGCUUACCAAGGCUUUGACGGGUAGCCGGCCUGAGAGGGCGACCGGCCACAGUGGGACUGAGAGACGGCCCAGACUCCUACGGGAGGCAGCAGUGGGGAAUAUUGCACAAUGGGCGGAAGCCUGAUGCAGCAACGCCGCGUGCGGGAUGACGGCCUUCGGGUUGUAAACCGCGUUCAGCAGGGGCGAAGCUUGUGGUGACGGUACCUGCAGAAGAAGCACCGGCUAACUACGUG
rnacentral:rRNA from 1 species